rnacentral:misc_RNA from 1 species
AAGUCGUAACAAGGUUUCCGUAGGUGAACCUGCGGAAGGAUCAUUAACAAAUUUCCAUUGUUUAUGGGAUUUAUUCCAUAUCAACCUUGUGUGCACCUAUUAAUUGUCUCUGGUGGGUCCUUUGUUCUGAGAUUUUCUGGCUGUGUCUUUUUUCUCUUGGGUUUUUUAUUAGACUUGAGCUAGGAAAAAUUGCAAAGUCCAGGAAGCCUUCAGUUCCAAGUCCACCAAAGGUUCAACCCCUGAGUAUUUUUGUUUUCUACUGAAGUAAUAAAUUAUUAUAAUUUAAAAACAACUUUUGACAACGGAUCUCUUGGCUCUC